UGUAACAACUAAAAUAGAAUGUGAGAAGAACUGUGGUCUCUCAUCUGAUCUUGGAAGUUAAGCAGGGUUGGGCCUGGUUAGUACUUGGAUGGGAGACUGCCCAGGAAUACCAGGUACUGUAGCCU
rfam:Gorilla gorilla gorilla genomic chromosome, chr6, whole genome shotgun sequence